rnacentral:lncRNA from 1 species
GUGCCUGUGCGUCAGCUUGCGCCGUGCCGCGCGCUGUGCCCAGCGCGGCGACGCCCUCGUAAUACUGCGCCAGUACGUCAUAUGCCGGUGCGCAGGAGGGGCAGUCCAGGAGCGCCUCAGUGCAAAUCGUGUACACUUCAGGAUGACAGGAGAGGGCACGUGGCUGGGAAGCCCAUGGCUCCAGCGUGACGAAGAGGCCCGUUAGGUAGCGCCAUGGAGCCUCAUUGCGCGGUGCACGCUGGAUAGCGUCCGCCACAUAUGAAAGCUCGCUGCCAGAUUUAAUUGGUAGAAAGGCGAGUGAGGAAUUGUGAGGGUCACACAAGUACCUUGAGCACUACGAAGGAAAAUGGGAAGUUCAAUCCAACAGGAAGGCAGCGUGAGGGCCCUAGCGAGUCCCACCUGCGCAACCACAUGGUGCUAUCGUCCUCCGAGCGCGGCAUGUGCUUCAGCACGAACAUGCGCUGGUUCCAGGCAGUGUUAUUCCGCACGUCACGCUGAAUUAGCUCCGAUGCAAACUCCAGUUCCGCUUGCCACCGCCCCGUCAUCUAUCCAGCAGGGGUGCACAGCCACCAACCCCAGACAUGUCAACACAAAAGCGGCAAACGCGUCGGGAUGGAGCUACAGAGUAUGCAGUAACCUAUUUCAUUUUCUAUACAUGUCCUACUCGGCACGUAUGCCUUGGUGGGACCCUCAAUUGGACCCUACAAUUGUUGAUGCGGCAAAA